rnacentral:rRNA from 1 species
GGAGGGUGCAAGCGUUGUUCGGAAUUAUUGGGCGUAAAGAGCGUGUAGGCGGUUCGGUAAGUCAGAUGUGAAAGCCCUGGGCUCAACCCAGGAAGUGCAUUUGAAACUACCAGACUUGAGUACGGGAGAGGAGGGGGGAAUUCCCGGUGUAAAGGUGAAAUUCGUAGAUAUCGGGAGGAAUACCAGUGGCGAAGGCGCCCCUCUGGACCGAUACUGACGCUGAGACGCGAAAGCGUGGGGAGCAAACAGGAUUAGAUACCCUGGUAGUCCACGCCGUAAACGAUGAGCACUAGGCGUAGCGGGUAUUGACCCCCUGCUGUGCCGUAGCUAACGCAUUAAGUGCUCCGCCUGGGGGACUACGGUCGCAAGACUA